AGAGUUUGAUCCUGGCUCAGGACGAACGCUGGCGGCGCGCCUAACACAUGCAAGUCGAACGAGCGAGAGAGAGCUUGCUUUCUCGAGCGAGUGGCGAACGGGUGAGUAACGCGUGAGGAACCUGCCUCAAAGAGGGGGACAACAGUUGGAAACGACUGCUAAUACCGCAUAAGCCCACGGCUCGGCAUCGAGCAGAGGGAAAAGGAGCAAUCCGCUUUGAGAUGGCCUCGCGUCCGAUUAGCUAGUUGGUGAGGUAACGGCCCACCAAGGCGACGAUCGGUAGCCGGACUGAGAGGUUGAACGGCCACAUUGGGACUGAGACACGGCCCAGACUCCUACGGGAGGCAGCAGUGGGGAAUAUUGCACAAUGGGGGAAACCCUGAUGCAGCGACGCCGCGUGGAGGAAGAAGGUCUUCGGAUUGUAAACUCCUGUUGUUGAGGAAGAUAAUGACGGUACUCAACAAGGAAGUGACGGCUAACUACGUGCCAGCAGCCGCGGUAAAACGUAGGUCACAAGCGUUGUCCGGAAUUACUGGGUGUAAAGGGAGCGCAGGCGGGAAGACAAGUUGGAAGUGAAAUCUAUGGGCUCAACCCAUAAACUGCUUUCAAAACUGUUUUUCUUGAGUAGUGCAGAGGUAGGCGGAAUUCCCGGUGUAGCGGUGGAAUGCGUAGAUAUCGGGAGGAACACCAGUGGCGAAGGCGGCCUACUGGGCACCAACUGACGCUGAGGCUCGAAAGUGUGGGUAGCAAACAGGAUUAGAUACCCUGGUAGUCCACACCGUAAACGAUGAUUACUAGGUGUUGGAGGAUUGACCCCUUCAGUGCCGCAGUUAACACAAUAAGUAAUCCACCUGGGGAGUACGACCGCAAGGUUGAAACUCAAAGGAAUUGACGGGGGCCCGCACAAGCAGUGGAGUAU
rnacentral:rRNA from 1 species